rfam:Agrobacterium vitis S4 plasmid pAtS4e, complete sequence.
UAGUCGAGAGCGUUGAUCCGUCGAUGCGUUGAACGAUUGUUUCACUCGGCUU